GCAUCAACAACUGCGGUUUCUUCGGAAGCUCUGCCACAAUGAACAUGUGUUCCAAGUGUCACAAGGCUAUCCUGUUUCAACAGGAACAGGGGGCUAGGUUUGCAUCUGCAGUGUCUGGUUGUACAUCUUCAUCCAGCAACAUCUUAAAGGAAACCUUUGCUGCUACCGCGCUGGUUGAUGCUGAAACCAAAUCCGUUGAGCCGGUGGCCGUCUCUUUACAGCCAUCUUCUGUCCAAUUCGUCGUCGCAGAGGUAGUAGCUCCAGAAGCCUCUGCAGCAAAACCAAAGGAAGGACCAAGCCGAUGUGCUACUUGCAAUAAACGGGUUGGUUUGACUGGAUUCAAAUGUCGCUGUGGUGACCUCUUCUGUGGGACGCACCGUUAUGCAGACAUACACAACUGCUCCUUCAAUUACCAUGCCGCUGCGCAAGAAGCUAUAGCUAAAGCAAACCCGGUUGUGAAGGCAGAAAAGCUUGACAAAAUCUGAAGAACUCAAAACUCAAACACCAAAGUGAUAGACUACGACCUCCUUAGGAGCAUUUAGAAUUGGAAAUGAAGGUUUAGAAUUUUACAUAUUUAUUAUUAUUGCCUACUAAGGUGUUUACUCCUAUAAGAGGGAGACAUUUGAUUCUAAUAAAAUCAUCCAUUAAGAGAUCAAAGAAACGGAGUUGUCUCCUCUAAAUCUAAUAAACGAGGAGUUUGUCAGCUUCUUGAAUAAAUAGCAUAUUGAUAGAUACUGCCCAGAGGCGUCUAUCACAAAGUUCCCUUUCUCCUAUCUGCGCCUGAUUCAAGGUGUCCCUCAUGUUAACUAAGGUUUAUAAAGUAUACUUCCAAAUAUAAACCAUUACUAGAUCCAAGCGUGGGUUUUUUGGAUUAUAUUAUAAUACAAAGUCUUAUUAUAUCAAAAAAAUAUAAUUUUGAACAGUUAUAUAAUUUAUGAAUUAGUUUAUUUGAGACUUUAUAUGUACAUUUUUACGUAAAUUUCUUUUAGGCAUGAGAAUUAUAUCCGGAUAAAAAAAACAAACUGAAUCGACCCGAAAAUAUAGGUUUAGUUCAGGUCCAGAGAAGAUAACCUAUUGGGUUUUUGGACCUGUAAGUCUUUGUUUGAGUCAAUGUACUAUUCUAGACCCGAUCAUAAAUAUGUUGUGUUUAUUAGAUAUAUUUGGAUAUUUCGAAUAUGUUUCCGGUAUUAUGAAUAUUUUUUUUAAGUUUUGGUUUACGAUUAUAGUUUUUGAUUUCACGUAAAUUUUCAAAUUUAAAAAAAAAAUUGGGUAUUUUUUAAGUUCAUCGUGUCAGAUUUUGAAUAAGAUUUUGAAUUUUUAGGUAUUUGAAUUUUUUUGGUAUUCGUUAGGAAUUUCAAAUAUUUUUUCAGAUUUUUUAGAUAUUUUGAUAUUUUUUUUAGGAUCCUAAAUACCCGAACAUAUGUGGACCCAUUAUGUCCAUAUGAAGUCUAACAACCUUUUGAUAUAGAUUUUUAACGUUAUUGUACAAAAACAUGGUUGAUAAAAUAUUUUUCUGAGUAAAAGUAUCAUAAGGAAUAAUAUUAGGAUCUGUUAAAAAUAUUUAAAAUAUUGUAUGGUUAGAAUGAUUAAUGGUAUUACUAAAAAAAAAGUUAUACAUGACUCCAACAACUUUUUUAUAUUAGAUUUUUAAGAUUAUUUCUCUUUUAAUAGUAUUGAUUCGUUUUUAAAUGAAAAGUAUAUAAAAGUAUAAUAUCUAGACCAAUAAUUUUCAAAAUCGUAAAUAAUCAAUACUGAUAUCGUGAAGUCGGGUUAAUUUUAACAGAACCAAUGAAUUUAUUUUGUGAAGGUAACAUGAAAUAUUCAGAAAAUUCAUUUUUAAAUAUGAAAAUAUCUAUCAAAACUAUAGACGGUUGAAAGUUUAGCAUAUGAUAUGAGAUUUUAGUAGAAACGUUUAUAUAUGAUAUGAUUACUUUAUUAUAAAGUAAAGAUGAAGUUAGAAUGUACACAUAUAUGUCAUGUAACCUCUCUUGAUUUAAAUCAUAUAUUAUAUGAUAAAAAUGAUAAUAUAAAACAUUAGUUUCAAUGCUUUUACGAUUAAAAAUCAAAAUGGUAAAUAUAGUAAUAAUAGUGAUUAAAAUUUAGGAGUGAAAUUUGAAUAAAUAAAGGAAUUGAAUAAAUUAUUAUUAGAGAAAUAUAUGGUAACAUAUUGUUAGUCUAAAUUUAAGGUAAGACAAAAAAAAAUAAUAAGAUAAAUGAAAGGGUCCAAACAACUUUUAUAGGUAGAUUUUUUAAGACUCCUUCCCUUUUAAUAGUAUUGACUAGAUUUUGAUCCGCGCUUCGAAAGCGCGGAUUUUUUAAAACUAUAAACAUAGUUUUAUAUGAAUUAGUAUUUCGGAUUGUUGUACAUUAUUAUGUUACGAAAUCAUAUUAUAUUGAAGCAGAUAAUCUUAAAAAAAUAUAAAUUAGGUUAUUUAGUUUUUUGUAUAUACAUUUUUAUGUAACUCUUUCUAAGUCUGUGCAUUUUAUCUGAUCCAAAACAACUGAGAUCUACCCGAAAAUAUAGGUUCGGUUCGGGUCCAUGGGAAAGGUACCUAUUGGUUAUUUUAUAACACCCGUAGGUUUUGACUUUGUUCCAAUCAGACAUGAAACUCGAUCGGAUACCAAAAGUACUCAGAUUAUUUUUGUAUAUUAGGUAUGUUUGGGCAUUUCAUAUAUCUUUUGGUAUUACGAAUAUUCUUUUAAGUUUCAGGUUUGUGUUUCUGGUUAUAGUUUCAGGGUUUACGUAGAAUUUCAAAAUUUUAAGAACAUAUUUCGCGUAAUCAGAUUAAAUUUUAGGCAUUUUUGGUUUCGCAGAUCAGAUUUUGAGUUAAAUCGGGACUUUUCGAGUAUUUGAAUAUAUUUCGGGUAUUUACUGAUUUUCAUGUAUUUUUUGGAUUUCAUAUAUUUGCAGGUUUACUCGUACUUGGGGUCCUAGAUAUCCAAACCUACCAGGAUCCACUAUAUACCUGAAAAUUAUAUGUAUUUUUAUCUGGAUCCACUACAAACCUACCUAGAUCCACUAUAUACUUGAAAAUUAUAUGUAUUUUACGACUAUUUAAAUUAUGGAUCCAAACCAACUCAUACCCGAAAGAAACCGAUUCAAAUCUAAACCAAAAAAAAAAUUGACAUCACCAAAAAAUUAUUAUAUUUUAGAUUCUCAAUAAAUAUAGCUUAAAACAUUUAUAACAUUUAUAAUAUUUUUGAUGCUUAAUAUAUGAGAGUAAUGAUAAUAGCUCCUUAUUAAAUGGGAAGAAAUGCUAUAAUAGCUAUCGGGAUUUAUCACAUUUACCGUACAUGAUAUAUAUAGAAGUUAGAUGAAAAUAUGGAACGUAUAAGUUAUGAUCUUUUACGAAUCGGGAUAUGUUGUUACGCAAAAGACUUAAAAAUAUCUUCUAGGAUAUUAAACACUAAUUCUUAACUUGACUGUAUACAUAUUCCACAAACAUUAGAAUACUAUGAUAAUUAAUAUAUAUAUAUAUAUAUCAGUAUGUAUAGUAAACCGGUUUGGGUAUUAUCAACAUAUACUAUGUUAUAAAUAUGUUUAUUCUAAAAUUAAUAAUAUGUUUGGUUUAAACAUAUUCGUUCGUGAAUGGGGAUGUUCUUAUAUAUGGCUUGAAUCUUAAUUUCAAAAUUAAAUUGGAAGUCAGUUCGAUCCAAAACGGAAUUGACGUUUUAUCAUAUGUUACAACACAUCACUUGUACAAUUAGGAAUUAUAUAUUACAAAUUUAUAAGUGCUACAAAAAUGUCAUUUUAUCAUAGUAUAUUAUCGAUAAUAUAAACCUCAAACUAUAUGUAAAUAGUGUUCAGGAAAGCUUUAAAUUCAUUAAAGUAUUUCAUGGUGUUUUCAAUUUCGUAUAUAGGUGUUGUGAUAAUAUACGUAUGUAAUAUAUAUGGUUUGAGUAAACCACUAAAUUUGAUAUGUAUCUCAUGUUACCUUAUAUUGUUAGAGAAAUAUUAGGUAAGACCAAAAAAUAAUUAACUAAUAAAUAGGUCCAACAACUUUAUAUAAGUAAAUUUUUUCAGAAUAAUUUUCUUUUAAUAGUAUAGAUACAUAGUUUAAAACAAAGUACAAGAACAACGUUAUAAAUAUCAAAUUCUGAAUAAUAUAUUUGCUCAUUUUGACACAACCAAAUACACAUAAUAAUAAAAAACAUUUGUACGAGUCAAACGCUAGAUAUAUUGUUCGAUCACCACAUAAACACAAUGGUGAUCGUUUUAUUUUACAGAAAACAAACCCCAAAAUGUUCACCAGGACAUAAAACUACGUUUUUACCAUACAAUGAAAAAACGAUUUUAGGAAUCAUAGGAAACCAGAACAAUUUAAAACCGAAUGACUUCCUAAAAUGUCUAUAUACAUAUAUUUUAUCAAAAAGUCACUUAAUGCAGGAACAAAACAUCUCUUCUCUGUACAAAAUUUUCCUCCUACGUAUCCCCUUCCGUGAUGAGAGCUACAACUACUGCUUAUACGUUCACCUACCUGAAAAGAAAAGUCCAGGUAAGUGAAAAAAAAAACUCAAAUAAUCCAGGAAGGCAUAUUAUUAACUGAAAACACACAAGCUAUGUUAAAUUAUUAGAUGACCAAAAUAUGAAAACGGGAAGUGGUUGUUGGUCUCAGAUGAAACAGAAAGCGAGCUAUAGACAAGAAACACUUUAGUACACUAACAGAUGACGAUGAUAGAGAAGUAAGUUCAUACUUGUAUUUUCUGGUCCUGUUCAAUUGAUUCCCUUCAGGUUGAGGAGCUUUUUCCACCACAUAAGAAGCAAUCAAGGUAUCCAGUUUUACCAACCAGAGAGCAAUCGCAGAAGUUGUUCGAGGCAUAGAAGGGAAGCUAGUUAUAAUUUCUCCCUCCUCCUCCUCACCAAAGUGCCAUAACCAAUCUUCAUUGAUUGCUCCAACAAAGUCCCCAAUCACCUUCAGACCAUGAUUUAGCAACAAGAGGUAAGUUAGAGAACAAUCAAUUUCGGACUAAAAUAAGGAAAAAGGGAGCUUUGCAUAAUAAAAAUGAAAACCUGCGUAAUUUCAGACAACGUUGAGCUUCGUCGAAGCCUUUUUGCCCAUAACCUAUGAGCUGACUUUUUCCAUGCACCAAUCAAGGCAUCUUCGGGCAUUGCAGACUGAAAAAUGUUAACCAAGAAAGGGAGCAGUUUCUUAACACAAACCAAGAAAGACGGAAAAGAUUAAAAAUAGUAAAGCAAAAACGACUAUCUCGACAGACCUCAAUGGCAUACACUGCAGCCUUUAGUGAUUGCAACUGGGAAGAACGAACUUUGUGAUCUGGAAAUGAAUCACUACUCUCUUCAUUCUUCCUGCUGCAUGUGGCUUCAUGAAUCGCAUAUCUUUCUUCAAGAUCUAUAUCAAGCUCAAAGGUAGCAUGGCAAAUCUUGCAGUGCUUCUCAUCUCUCCAAUACAAAUCAUGACAACUCUUACACCUAGUAAGCGAAUCAAGGUAGGAUCUUCGGCUGUGUUUAACAACAUUGAGAUUAAGAUAAUAUUUAUCCCAUAUCCAUUCAUCAAACUCCUGAACAAGGCUCCAUAAUAGGCUGUUGCCCCGCUUCUCAAAUACUAUAGCUGCUUGUUGAUCAUUGGCAAUCUCAUUGAGACAUAGGUUGUUGUUGUCUAUAUCAGAAACCGGUGAAGAAGAACUGUCCUCUCUGACUACAUGGUCAAUUCUUCUUAACAUGGCUUGACAGAGAAAACUUUCUCGUUUCUCCAAUGACUCAAUAAGCCGAGCUUCCCGUCUACCCCUAUCGUCCAACACUGACAACAGUGCCCGCAAAGCCUGCACCAAGCCAAAAAAUAGGGAAAUGUUAGGCAAGGAAUCAAUCCAACUUACACAAUACAAGUUUUCAUUUAAUUUGUGCACAAUGACAUCACCUCCUUGUGGCUGAUAACUUCCCAGUGACCAUCUUCAGAAGAUUCAAAGUAGACACACCUAUGACCAGGGUCAUUCGCGUUGCAUGGGCCUAAGAAAAGCCAGUACCUGUUGAACCUACGGUCAGAACCAAGGUAUACAGAUUGCAUAGGGUGAACAUUGUCUCCAGCGAGCUUUGCAAAAUCAGCCCCCACAAUUGAUGAUGAAUCAACUGGAUGAGAAUCAGACGGUUUAGAUAGCUUUUCGAUUCGCUCUCCUCCAUGGACCCAUGAUACGCGUGGAUGAUUAGAGGAUGAUGCUCUCUUGAUUUUUCCACCAGAACCAUGACUAUAGAUACUAGGGGCACAGUCAACCAUAGCUCUGGGUAAAUCCUCCAUUCUAAUAGUGGAACCAGAACUAAGAAGAUCAAUCAAAGCGAUGAAAACAUCUAACUUCUCUUCAAUGCUUAAGUCUGAAUAUUCCCCCUCCAUUAGCCCCAACAACCAUGCUUCUCCAGGAUGGCUUUCAUCAAUCUCACUGCAUACUUCCAACACCUGCUUCCGCCUUUUCCUACACUUGGCUUUUCGAAAUACAAAACUUUCUGAAACACGCCCCAACUCAUCACCAGAUUCAUCAUCAUCAACACUUCCAGACUCGCCCGAAUCAGACUCAUGGUCCUCAGAGAAACAAUUAACACGUGCACGAUAUGUAGAUUCAGAUAUUUUUUCGAAAAGUGUAAUAUCACUUGCCAGCGUUGAACAUAUUGAACGCUCUCGUUCUUCUUCUGAUGCAGUUGCAAGAUUCAGCGCAGCAACCUAUAACAUUAACCAGCAGCCUAUUCUAUUAGAUAUAAUAAUCUUAGGAUUUACUAACAAGAAGCUGAUAAUAAUUUCAGAAAAAACUACCUCUACUGCUGCAUUUGCUAACUCGGAUAUUUUCAAGCCAUUUUUGCCUCCUUGCUCGUUAAGCAUUCUAAAUAAUUCACCCUUUAAUGUUCCAAGACGGAGGCCAUACUUUUUCAUGAGUCUCCUUUCCUACAGGAGGUAACAUCAACCAAUAAUGCGUCAGAAAAUUAAAGAAAAAACCUAUAAACGACAUAGAACAUGCACAGGAGGAUAUAAAAGAAAAUUGAGCAAGAACCUUCAGUAUUCCACACGCAACUAACCCAUCUUCAAGAAUAAACAAAGCAUGCUAGUAUAUGGAACUUUGAUACGAAUGAAAAGGACAAGAGAUGUAGCAUUUGUAGGCAUUUCAUGUGAUGAACUAUAUUUUCGGUGCCAAGCAAAUAGAGUAGACAGAUGGUUGUUUCAACGAAUCAAAAGGGUUGCACGAAAUCAGCACCUUACUUAGUUCCUCUGAUUGACCAGCAGCCCGCUUUACAGAACCAAAACCAGCUGCAACCAAUAUCUGACGCAAUAUCUCCGCCCAUGUAAGAGAAUUUAAUGAAUCCUUCCACAUAUCAAGAAUAAGAAUUUGGCUCUCCACCUAAAAAAAAAAUAUCAUGGAGAAUGUCAAAACCUGUCUCUCAAACGGAAGUAUGCCAAGGAAAAAAAUAGAUAGCUCCACAUACCGACUGCAGCAGGGCUAGAAACUUGCAUGAUAUACUCAAGGUUGAAAAAGAUCCCCUUUGCAGCUCGGUUUCAACAUCAAGCAGAAGCAACUUCAGCAGGGAAAGAUGAAUUUUACCAAGGAGCAAGGAGUCCUGAAAGAGGAAAUGCAAUAUGUUAUUUUAAGAAACAGUUUCCUUCAGCAACAUAAGAGAUUUGACUAUUUGUUAUUAUCAAAUAAGAGAGAGCACCUUAUCAUGAAAUGCCCGUGUGAACUCGUCGAUAGUGAAGGGACAUAUAUCAAGAGUUACUGAAUAAGUAUACAGGAAAUGGACAACCUGUCAACACAUAUGUAGUACUAGGUCAGCUCCAAGAAAUGUAAUUUUAAGAAGAAAUCAAUCACGAAGUGCACACCUUAAAAAGUUUCUUGACAGACUCUGGAGAAGAAUUCCAUGGAUGCAAAGCAAAAGGCAGCCUCAUGCCAACAGAACUUGGGGGAAACUUGGGCAAUAAAUCUGGAAACAAACAACAAAAUAGAUGUAAAAAAAGGUACUUGAGAACGAAAACUCACUCUCCCUAGGAUUGAACCAAGACACAUACCUUUGCAUAGAAAACAAGAUCCACUAGUAGCAGUAUGGCAUGAACAAGUUAACGGAGGAUUCACUAGCCCUUCCUGUCUCUCCAAUUCCUCGUCAUCAACUAGUAUCGACAUUGUUUGACAGGUUUCUUUAAAUACCUCCCCGAGCUCACAUUUCUCACUAAAUCCCACCGUCUCAUCUUUGUUUAAUUCUUCGGUGGUCUGCAGCAAGCAAGCAAGAGUCAAUCAAAUCAUAUUUGUUGGCUUAUUGAAUCUAAGCUACCUCUGUAUUUAUAGAAUUCCUCUUCUUUUCCGUCGGCUUCUUCUUCUUCUUCUGCUUCUGCUUCUGAAGAAAGCAAAACAAUUGCAAUAAACAAUAAGUUCAAAAAGGCAAUAAAAGAGGUAAAAACAAGUAGUACCAGUAUAGAUGCUAAUUGUGUUUUGGUCUUCUUGGGAUUGCUUUGAGCUAAGGUUGCUCUUUCGUGGCUAUUUGGAUUCAUAACACGCCACGCUGUCAUCAAACCCUUGCCAAUACCAUAUUGUUUCUUCUUUACAACAACGCAAUCAUCUUGACUAGUGUGCUUCUCGGAAACCUAAAUAAAAGAAAAAUAAAUAAAGAUCAAAGAGUAACUAACCUUUCUCUUUUGCAAUAAUGAAAGAUGAUUCCACUAACCUUUCUCUUUCUCCCCACUCUCUGUUGAUCAAGAGAUGAUGAUGAAGGAGGAAGAUGGUCAAAUUGAAAACCAAGUGAGGGGCCGUCUUUUCUAAAAACCUUAGCCAAAAUGUACUGUGAGGUCAACAGCUUUUGACAAUUGAUCUUCCGAAGAGCAGAGCGAGGAAUCUUCGCCCUCACCGCCGCCGCCACGGAGGAUUUCUUUCUACUUGUUCUUCUCCUCUCAUCCAUUUUCUCUGCAUUCAUCACAUGUAAGGUAGACACGAACUGCCCCUGUUCAAACACGGGGGAGAUACGACUGCGCCGGUAAGAGGACCGCCGCGAUUUCGGAUCGACUCGCUCUGAUCUUCACCUUCUGUAUCAGAAAAAUCUGAUGCUACUUUUGUUUAGAUAUAUCUUUAGAAAUGAGAUUUUGUGGAGGGUUUUAGGGUUUUGGAGGAGAUAGAAAUGAAUACAAAAUGACUCUUUCACCCUUCUUUAAACCUUUUACAAAAAAAAUAAUAAUAAUAAGUAUAACAAAUUUGACGUUCGUGCCCGGGUAAAGUAAAGAGUGAGAGAUUGGAACAGCCACUGCACUAACUAAAUUCUGGCUAACCAGACUAACUCUUUUUAGUAAUUAACCUUAAACCUAUAAAAAAAAUUUCAAAAACUCCCCACAAUUAAUUCACGUUUAAUCUCCGAUUAACUGGUUCAACGCUUGGUAUCAAAAUAAAAAGCUUCCAGAACUUGAAGUUAAGCUCGCGAUUUCCUCUUCGUAUCCAAUAAAAUUUAAAAAAAAUUGAGAACUCUGAUGUUCGUCAAUCAAAACCAGGCGCAUGACACUCGACGCAUUCGUCAACGUCAAAUCAUCCCCUUAAUAAAUAAAUAAAAAAUCCAAAUAUCUCCCGAAAUAUAUUUACACCAAAAAAGUAUCAAAAUAAAAUAAAAAGAUAAAUGAUAAAUAUGUUUGUUUUAAGGGCAAUUGCAAUAAUAGCACUUUUUGAAGUUUCUGUCUCAAAAAUAGCACUAGAAGGAGAAACUCACAAAAAUAACAUUCAUUAAAGGGUAAAAUAUCUCUAAUACCCUUGAUUUAAAAUUAAAUAAAUACAUAAAAAUAAAUAAAAAUAAAUAAAAUAAAAAUAAAAAAAGAAAAAAAAAUAAAUUAUUUUUAUAGUUUCAGAUUAUAUGUUUUCAGAUUCGAAAUUUUUAUAAAUUUUUUUUUGAAAUUUUUUUUGAAUUUUUUUUUAUUUUUUUUUCAAAUUUUCUUUUUAUAAUUAAAAAAUACUUUUUGAAAUUGUUUUUAAAAUUUUAUUUUUUAUUUUAGUAUUUAUUUUUUAUAAAAUUUUAAACUCUAAUUCCAAAACCCCAUCCCUUAACUCUAAACCCUAAGGUUUGGAUUAAUUAACCCAAGGGGUAUAAGUGUAUAUUUACCUCUUUAAUGAAACCUAUUUUUGUGACUUUGAACCUUGAGUGCUACUUUGGGAACAAAAACUUAGUUUGGUGCUAUUCUAGUCUUUUUCUCAUGUUUUAACUGAUUUAUCUUUUUAAAUAAUUAUAUAUUAAUAAAAUAUUAAAAUUGAAUUUAAAUAUCUAACCAUAUUUUAAUAACUAAAAAAAAUUGAGAAUUUGAAAUGAACAAAAAGAGAAAAAAAAAAUCAAAGAAUCAGACAAUUAGAUACAUACACUUAUAUAGCCGACUCUUACAUAAACGGUGUGAAUAAAAUGUAAAACAUCUCUAAAAAAAUAUCGAAGAAAGAAAGCCCAAAUAGCCGAAACUUUUUUCUUUCUUCCUUUUUAUUUUUAUUUGAUAUCGUUAUAUCGGGUUAGGGUCUCGAUUUUAUUUUCCAAUUUUGAUUUGCCCUUUUGUGUUUUUUUUUUCUGUCGACUUAUUGAUGCAGAGAAAUAUUUAGAUAUAUUCCAAAUAUUUUUAUUAUCUAGUUUAUACUUAUUUUAAUAUUUAUCUUAAUUAGUUAGAAUUAUCUUAAAAAUUUUUAAUAAUUUUAUAGUUAUUUAGUUUUCAUAUAAAUAGGCAUCUUAGACUAAAUAAAAAUCUUUGUAAUUAUAGUAGCUUCUGCUACCUCAGGUAGUAUCAGAGUUGGUAUUUUGGUUUCUUAAUGUUGAAGGGAAACAUUUAUUUUUCGCAAAAGAAAAUUUGUUUUCUGAAAGUGAAAACACCGUUUAUAUCAAUGUUGUUGGCGAUCCAAUAUUCGAUGUCUAUGAUGAUGUUGUUCUGAAAGAGAAAGACGCUCAUGUUAAAAAUUAUAUUUGUGACGAUGAUGAAAACAAUUUCAUCAAAAUUGCAAGGAUCAGCGAUGGGCAUGUGGUGGCUGUCUCGGAAGAUGGAACUACUACCAAGAAUUUCCAUAUCAUAUCGACGAAAUAAGACGUCAUGUAUCAGUGUUUUUAAAUCUGAACCGAACUGGCGAUCAGACCAGGUUAAACCAUGAACCAAAAAUAAUCUAAAAACCCUUAUCGAACCGUCAAAAAUCCAGAAACCGACGGCUCAAUUAACCAGCCAAACCCCGGUUCGUAUAUAAGCCAAAAUUUGUUAUUAAUUUUUCUUUUUUUAAAGUAAAAAUAAGAUUUAUCAAAGAUUAAUAAAGUAUAGUCUCUCGUCUUUUUGUUUUGUCUUCUUUAGAACUCAUAAAUUACAAGAUUCACAAAGUUUAAUAUUCACGUCAAGAUAUUGUUUUGUCUACUUCUCAUUUUUUAAAAAAAAAUUAUUUCAUGAUCACUUAUUUUGAAGACUUUAAAUCAUUGAAACAUUUUCGUUUUUGAAAUUUGUAUUUCAAAAUAUAACUUUUACCUAAUGUGUAUAUAAUUUUUUUUAAAGGUGAUGAAGAUGUAGAGUGAUAAGAUCUACGAAUAAAGUUUAAAUGUGCUUUCCAUAUUGUUUUAUGAUUUUAAUUUUUUUUUUUGUUUUUCUACACAUUAUGACUAUUUAAACAUUUUAUUUGAUAUGAUAUAUUUUUUUAAAAAAAUAUGCAUAUUAUUUAUAAAAUAUCAUUAAAUUUAGUUUAAUCUAAAUAAAUUCGAUCGAACCCGGUUCAGAUCCGGUCGAAUUACAAUGAGCCAUGACCCAAAACAAUUCCGGUUCGCUUGCCGGUCCAGUUUUAAAAACACUGUCACGUAUAUAUUCAACAGCACUAGAAGCCAAUCAGAUGUGUUUCCUUGGGGUUUUGGAGUAAAAAAGGAGGUUUCAUGCAAAUUAUGGAAAUUUUGGCUAAAGGCAAUACAUGUCGUAUAAUUUGUUUGGAGAUGAAUAAAUAAGAAGGUGAAGAGAUACAAAUGGAAGAGAUGCAAAAUAAUAACAUUUCAUGUGAAGAUUUCAAAUCUGGUUUUGGGGUUGAAGAUCACAGUUAAGAUUCAAGGACAAAUCUUCUCUAACCCGGAAAGAAUGAUACAGAGAGAUAUUUGGAUAUAUUCUACAUAUUUUUAUUAUCUAGUUUACAAUUAUUUUAGUAUUUAUAUUAAUUAGUUAGAAUUAUCUUAAGAAUUUUUAAUAGUUUUUUAUUGUUAUUUAAUUUUCAUAUCAAUAGAGGUCUUAGACCAUACGCAACGCGGGUUGUUAGGUAUUUCUUAGCGCUAAUCCUUAGGGAAAUUUGGAAUAAAAACGAUUAUUAAAUUAGGUUAAGCUAAGAAAGAAUCCUUACCUAAGGAUUUUUCGGCUUUGGUCCUAGAUGAGCUGGCAACACCUGAUUCGUGCGGAGAAGCGUUGUGUUUCGUAUAGCGAAAGUCAAACUUUCAUUUACGCGACUCGAUCUGAAUAAAAAACCUCUACAUCUCUCCAGGCGAAGGCAAAGGCGAUUCGUCGAUCCGCGUCGUUGAAGGUAAAGCCGACCGUUUAAACUCAUUAUUUUUUCUUAUGGAGUUGAUGCAUGUUGAUUUCAUCAGUUUUUAGGGAUCCGAUUGGGGGAUUUGAAUAGCUUUCGGCCUUGAAAUCGAAUUGGGGAUUUAAUUCGAAUUAGGGUUUCCAUCUGGGUUUGCUUUUCUCUUCUUUUCGAUAAGCUUCUUUGUUGUUUCGUCGCGAUUACGGGUUCGGGUUUGAGUGUAAAUCGAUUUAGGGUUUUAUAAAUCGAUUUAGGGUUUUCUAAUUUGGGGAUUUUGAUUCGAUUAUAUUUUUUUGUUCUUGUAGGUUCUAAAUGGAGGAAGAAAUGCGAGAUAUGAAAGCACACAAAGCAUACUACAACAUGCUUCAUUUCGUUUCAGAAGCCCAACAUGGAAUUCCCAAGUUGUGCCCCCGUGGAUCUAUCACGAAGGAGUUCGUCGACGAAGAGGAUUCAUAUGACUACCUCCCCGGGAAAAGAUACUUCAUCUGCAAAGACUACCAGGUUCAAAAUGUUCUGUCUCUUUAUACUCCAUAUUGAUUUUCUGUUUGAUUAAUCAUUUAAUGUUUUCGCAGAAUGACGGGAUGCAUUUCAGGCAACCAUGGGUUAUGGGUGUGCAACAAGAGUUUGAGAGGCUCAAACAUCGCAUGAUGGAGCAGGAGAAGCUUCAGCUAGAGUGCGAGGCGCUUAAGGUUAGUUUAUAAGUUAAUGUUCAUUGGUGUUUGUACAAUCUUUCUAACACAUUGUUUGUUUUCUGUGAUGUCUCUUCAGUACCAGGUUAAGAUGCUUCUUCAGCGUGUGUCUGAACUUGAGAAAGUCCGCUGAGGUUAGUGUUUUGAACUGUGUCUCCUUGUAGUUUAAUUUUGAGAACAAAGUAGGAUAGUGCAUGUGUCUCCUUGUAGUUUGAGUUCAAAGUAGGACCGUCUGUGUGUAACUUUGUUGAAACUAGGAUCGUGCGUGUUUCUCCUUGCAGUUUGAAAACAAACUAGGAUUGUACUGGUUAACGUUCUAGUUUGAAACUAAACUUAACUUCGUAGUUUAAAUGCACACCAAACCACCACUAAAUUAUUCCUUAACUGCUUCUUUUAGACUAAAACAUUAAUUUUAUUGUCGUGAGCUGUUUUGAUAUGACAGUUUCCUACUAGGCUUCAAUGCUGUUAAUGUAGAAUCCUUUAUUUAAUCCUCUGUGUUUCUACUAGAGAAACACAGACUUCUUCCUAAAUGGCAAAUAACAAUGGUUAUGUUAACUUAUUAGCGAGCCAAGGGUCAAUUGACUUUGGCUCAUCACAACCUUUUUUCUUUACCGGUCAAAGUAGUGAUGAGUCUAGUGUCAAAGAGAGGAGAAAGUGGACACCGAAGGAGGAUUUAAUCCUCAUAGGUGCGUGGCUCAACACCAGCAAAGACCCAAUAGUGAGCAACGAACAAAAAGCUGGUGCCUUCUGGAAGAGAAUUGUAGAGUACUACAAUUCUAGUCCUCUCCUGGUUGGGACUAUCCCACGAGAACUUGGGCAAUGCAAGCAAAGAUGGGCUCGGAUCGACGAUUUGGUAUGUAAGUUUGCUGGCUGCUACGACAUGGCACUGAGGGAGCAGACAAGCGGGCAAAAUGACAACGAUGUGAUGAAGUCUGCCUUGGAUAUCUUCCACAGUGACCAGAACCAGAAGUUCAACUUGGAACACGCGUGGAGGGAGCUUAGGCAUGAUGUGAAAUGGUGCUCCACCAACCUUGAGAAAGAAAAGCGCAAACCAGUGGAUCCUGUUGCGAACGAAGGGUCAGUGCCAGAGCCAGAAGAGAGACCAAUUGGAGUGAAGGCUGCGAAGGCUGCUAAAAAGAGAAAGAAAACUGGAAAAGAAGAAGAAUUGGCAAAGCUUGAGAAUUUGUUGGAAAUAAAAAAACAAAUCUCAAAGGAAAGUUUGCUAGAGAGUUUGCUUGCAAAGCCCGAGCCUCUCUCUGAGAUGGAAUCAGCUCUCAAAAUAAAACUUAUGUCUGCUUUGUUGUAGGGUUUGUUAGCUCUAACCUUAGUUUGCCUAUGUCUACUUUACAAUGUGUGCAUUAGACUAGUUUACGAUGUUUGCAUUAGACUAGCUUAGAUGUUUGCAUUAGACUACUUUACGAUGAUAACCUCUGCUUACACACGUGAUUUUGCUCUGUUUCAGGUGAAGUACAAGACCAUGUGCUUGUUGAAGACAAAAGCUGGUAUCUCUUCUCUCUUCAGUCACGGGUGGUUUGUCUCUUUCUCCUUGUAUUUCGAUGUGAACCAAGUCACGGGUGUAUUUGUAUCUUUCUCUUUGUAUUUUCAUGUGAACCAAGUCGUGUACCAUGUUGCCUUUAUAAGUCUGUUUAUGUGAACGAAGUCCUUUGUGCUUCUUCUUCCUUGUAUUGUCUCAAACCGGAUGUAAUGAUGUUUUAGUGUAUUCUAUUUCCUUUGCUCUUCUUCUCCUUGUACAACCUACUUACAAACGAAAUACUCAACCUUCAAAAACUUAAGCAAACUUAAGCAAACGAACCAAGUCGUUGUUGCCAAUCUCCACACGCCUUGAUCGCUGAGACGAGACGUUCAUCCUCUCAUCCCACGACAUAAAACCAUCCUCUCAUCACACGCCUUGUUUCUGUAAGCAUUAGUUUUUGAAAUAGUUUUGCGAAGUAGAAGCCUGUUUACGGUUUACGGUUUGGUCUCCAAUUCAAUUUAUGGGCAUUAUGGUUUUCGAAAUAAGCACAAAGAAGGAUAGUGUGGUUAUUUCCCCUGAGAAAUCACUAUACUAUUUAAUUAAACUCACUUCCACAAAAGUUUUAUUUAUUUAUUUGAUAUAUGUAAAAUUCUACUUUUUACAAGUGAGUGUAUUACGUGACUAAUUAACCCUUUCCUAAUACUAUUAUAUAACAAUUAUCAGCUGAUGACUUUAGUAAUAUAAAUUACGAUUAAUGCAAUUCAAAAAAAUAAUACCAAAAGAAAGUUUAUAAUAAAUAAGUUUAAUAUAAUGUUAAGAGUUCUAAAACGUGUGCCUUGAAAAAUCAGUUUUGAAAGAAGGAUAGGCAAAUAUGGCAGAUGAAGUCGACCGAAGACUCGAUGCGGCUGUCAAUGAGGCUUUUGAUGAAUAUUUUGAAGACACAUACAACAGCAUCAUGGAGAAUCGAACAAAUAAAAAGAAGAAACGUGCAUAUGUCGAACAAAACCGCGAAGCGGGCCACAACCGUCUAUGGAAUGACUAUUUUAGUGAAAAUCCGUCAUUUCCAGAAAAUUUAUUCAGACGUCGUUUUCGCAUGAACAAGCAAGUAUUCAUGCGUAUUAUCGACACCCUCUCAGCAAAUGUUCCAUUCUUUCAGCAAAGGAGAGAUGCAGUCGGACGGUUGGGUCUAUCUACACUACAAAAGUGUACGGCGGUUAUUCGUAUGCUUGCUUAUGGCUGUGCGGCUGACGCCGUCGACGAGUAUCUCCGACUCGGUGAAAGCACCGCACUUUCAUGUUUAACCCAUUUCACAGAUGCUGUAAUUCUAUUAUUUGGAGAAGAAUAUCUACGGAGACCCAAUCCUGAGGAUCUUCAACGUUUACUCAAUAUUGGAGAGAUCCGCGGCUUUCCGGGGAUGAUUGGAAGCAUCGACUGUAUGCAUUGGGAGUGGAAAAAUUGCCCAACCGCUUGGAAAGGACAAUACACACGUGGAUCAGGAAAGCCGACACUUGUUUUGGAGGCUGUGGCGUCACAAGAUCUUUGGAUAUGGCACGCUUAUUUCGGUUCUCCAGGUACCUUAAAUGAUAUUAACGUCCUUGAUCGAUCACCUGUAUUUGAUGACAUUUAUCAAGGUCGAGCUCCAAGGGUAACGUACAUAGUCAACGGACACCAGUAUGAUUUGGCGUACUACCUCACGGACGGUAUAUAUCCAAAAUGGUCAACAUUUAUCCAAUCUAUCACACUCCCUCAAGGUCCUAAAGCAGAGUUAUUUGCUAAAGUUCAAGAAGCUACCCGAAAAAAUGUGGAGCGUGCUUUUGGUGUAUUGCAAGCUCGAUUUGCGAUAGUGAAAAACCCGGCGCUGUCAUUGGACAAGGAAAAAAUAGGGAAGAUUAUGAGAGCAUAUAUCAUACUGCAUAAUAUGAUUGUCGAAAAUGAACGGGGUGGAUACACUCUGUACGAUACAUCUGAAUUUGAAGAAGGAGACUCGAGCAGAAGUUCACAUGUUGAGCAUAUUAACAACAUGCCUACCCAUUUCGGUAAUAUGCUUGGUCUACGGAAUCAUGUUCGAGAUAGGCGUACACACAAAGCAUUGAAAAAUGAUUUAAUCGAAAAUAUUUGGAACAAGUUUGGUGAUGAUGAAGAUGUAUAAUUAUCGUAUGUUUGCUUUUAAUCAUUGAAUAAAAAAAAUUUUAAAUUAAUUUUUUUUUAAAUUUAAUAAUUUUAAAUUCUUAAAGACUUCAUUUUGAGUAACACCAUUGGGCAUACAUUUUAGACUCAAAUCCUUAACUAUUCAAAAAACAAAAAAAAAAUACUAUUAUAAUCCUAAGGACUCCAAUGGUGGGUAACACCAUUGGAGUUGCUCUUAUAUGCUUAUGAGACGGGAAACAUAAUGGAUAGAUUCUCGAACUAGAAAUCCUUCUUGCGGAUUCGAAGUAAGGGAAUACACAGACCUAGAAGAUGAUCGUAAGGAUAGAAAGAUCACCUCGAAGAAUUGUGGUUUCUUCGGAAGCGCUUCCACAAUGAACAUGUGUUCCAAGUGUCAAAACCGAAGGAAGGACCAACCCGAUGUGCUACUUGCAAGAAACGGGUUGGUCUGACUGGAUUCAAAUGUCGCAGUGGUGACCUCUUCUGCGGGACACACCGCUAUGCAGACAUACAUAACUGCUCCUUCAAUUACCAUGUCGCUGUGCAAGAACCUAUAGCUAAAGCAAAUCCAGUUGUGAAGGCAGAGAAGCUUGACAAAAUCUGAA
rnacentral:lncRNA from 1 species